rnacentral:lncRNA from 1 species
UAAGGGGAGUCACUCUGGAGAUCUGCCUGAAUUAGUGGGUUGGAAAAAUCAAGAGGAAGAAAUAUCUACAAACUAAGAACAAAUAUAUACAGAGAAAUAAAUUAUGACAAAGACAUUCAGUUAAAGAUUCGUUUUCCACAUAUUGUUCCUGUAGAAAUUACUGGAGCUUGUACAUCAUCAAAAUAAUGGCAUAAAUCAAGGAAGAAGAAAAAAAAAUUGAGGAAACAAGAUCCAACACAAAAGAGAAGCAAAGGAAUUUUGUGACUGUUGGUAAAGAGAGACCCCAGUGACAGCUGUGCAGCUGGCCUGAAAAUGAGCCAAUCCAGAUUGGAUCAGGGCAGAGGCUCGAGGAGCGACUUCUUCAAGAAGAUAAAAUUAAUGAAAUACCUAAUGGGCUUGGGGAUAUUGAGAUUUGCAUAAGUUCUGGAGGCUAUGGGGGAUAAAUUAAUGUUAAAUAAGUGAAAAGUAAAAAAUGGAAAAAAAAUUCUUAAUUAGGGAAAAUAAUCAUAGUAAACUGCAUGAGUCAGCCAUCAAUAGUAUUUUCAUCGUCAAUAUAAACAAUGGAUAUUAAUCUAAACAAUUGAUAUGAAUCCUGUGGGGUAUUGAUAACACAGGCCUCUAGAAGGGCUGACUAAUGGCUGGGUGGCAGCAUGGAGGGGAAAGACUAGGGGAGAGAAGUGGAUAUUGACCUAUCAAACAUGAUAAAAAGAUUUUGGAAGAACCAGGGGACCCAAGUGCAUUUGUAGGUGGUGAGAAUAGUGGUUAUAUUUGAAAGAGAGCUGAAUUCUCAUCUUUGUAAUAAAUAUUAUUGGUAGAUAAUAAUGCCUAUAACAAAGUUGGUAAGAGUGUAACACUGUAAGAAUUCUAUUUAGAGAUCGGAGGUAAAUACCAAAAACCAGCAGAAAGAGUUGAAAGCAAUUGCUGUAAUUACAGGGGUGAAAAAUUUGAAAUGUGUGGGGCCUAAUGUUUUUCAUAACAAAUCUUGUAGAGUUUUAAAUGAUGCAUAUGUAUAACUGCUGGAAAAAAAACCCCCAAAAACCUAAAUUGAAAAUAAAAGGAAGUAAUGAGAGAAGACAGAGACUUGAUAGAUCCAAGAGAUAAAAUAUUAGAAGGAAUUCUACAAGCUUAAAAGAAAAGGAGAGAGUAAGAACUCAUAUUAGAACAAAGAUCUAAGUCUUCAUCUUGAAGGGUCCCCCCAUUCCCUCACCCCAACUCAAGUUUUAAUUUGGAUUGAUCAGAAAAACUGAUAAUGGGCAUAGCCUUAUAUAAUUUUCAAACUCCAAGCAUAGCAAUAAAAUAUUACUGGGUUCUAGAUAGAAAAAAAAAAAGUUACUUGCAAAGGAAAAGAAAAAGACUGAGAUUGAAUUUCUUGUAUGCAACUUUGGAGAGUAGAGGAUGGUAGGAUAAUGUCAAUGGACUAGUGAGAGAAUUCCACCCCAUGAAUCCUAUACUAGGCGAAGCUGUCAGUCACCUGUCAGGGAAAAAGAUAUUUGCAGAUGUGCAAAGAUUCAGAGAUUAGAGAAGUCUUGAGAAAAUACACUAAUCAACAGAAGGGUUUGAACAGUGACUGUAGGAUAUGGGAAAGUAAAAAAGAGAGGAAAUAGUGAUAAGCAAUGAAGUUGGCAGUAUGCACAUGGUUCAGUCUCAUUGGAUAGUGACUAUUAGAAAAUGCUUACUGUAGGUUCUAAAGAAGUAUUCUUUUUUCUCCAGCUUUCAACUUGAAAAUCUUCAAAAUAAAAAUUUGAAAGACUUUUACCUUGAUUCACCAGUUUCUCUUGUAAUCAGGAAUAUUUCUUUAGAAAUGGCUGAUUCCAAGGCAGAAAAAUUAGAAGACGAACCAGAAUUGACUCCAGUCUCUUGCGCAAAAAUGCUCCAGUGGAAGAAAAAGGGGGAGAACAUUGAAUGAAGAAAGGAUGUUCUUAAAUUACCAGAAAUUUGAAAGUAGAAAUAUACUGAUUAAAAGUAGGUUGAGAAUAAAAUCUUAGAUUGUUAAGACUUUAGGGAAUUUGUUCUUUAAAUAUUGCCUUUAGCAAACUCUUUUGUAAAUAGUAAAUGCUAUUCUGCUUUGAUUUAAACAGCUUAUUCCUUUAAUGACAGCAUAUCAUUAACCUAAAAAAUGUCUUUUAGACCAAAUCAUGAUUAUUAGAACUGUUGAAAAAUAGGAGGAACAUUUUCUUUGGCAACUAUGUUAUAAAUAAACAAUUUUGCAUUCUCCCAGAGGGAAGAGGAAUAACUUUAGUAAUUUUCUGCGUUUCAGAGUAAUAUCAAUCUAGAUUUAGGGAGAUGACUCUUAUUUAUAGAAAAUGGUUUGCUUUAUUUGACCCACAUAAUACCUAGCUUUCCAAACUGUUAAAUCUGAACCUCUUGUCUCAAUCAGAAAAUGUGGAAAAAUAACUCACAUCAGUCAAUUUUGAUUGUAUGUGUUGCUAAGAUAGGUACUUACCUUUAUUCAUCCAUCCAUUCAUUCUAUAACCAUUUAGUGCAUGCCUGCUGUGGCUUAGGCUCUGUACUAGUGUCUGGGAUUCAUCAAAAAUAGCAAAGAUUCUGGGGUUCAUAAAAAAUAGACAAAGAUCUCUGCUUUUGAGAUGCGCACACUGUAGUUUUAGACAGGGUUUACUUUUCGUAGUGUUAAUUCAGCUAUAUUUGUUGGCUUUCAUCAAUUUGGAGGCCACUCAGAUCAUAUCAGUGAUCAUUUAGGGUCCUGGCAAUGUGUGGGGGAGAGACUGAUCGUGGACAGGCCAAGUGUCCACUACACAGACAUCAAACAUUAUUGAAGAUCUUUAUAAUUUUGUGUUGUAAUUUAUUGAGUUGUAGAACAAUAUUUAUAUUUUGAUUUUGGUUAAAAAAAGGAAAUGAAUAUGGCAGAGUAAGGAGACUAGGAAAUUUGUGAAUAUAUAUGCAUAUUUAUAUAUGCCAAAUAAAUAUACGUUUGCCACACACAUACACACACACACGCACACUAUUGUACAAGUGUUCUUCAUUAGCUACUUUCCCAGAUGCUACUCAAGGGCUUAUUUAACUUGUCUUAGGAAUUUUAGCACAUAGAAGGUAUUUUAAACAACACAAGAUGAACAUUAAUGGAAUUAACUCUAAGGAAUUCAACAGUUGUAAAGAAAUCAUUAAGGUGAUUUUUAAAACUAAGAGCAUUAUCCCAGUUAACUAACUGCUGAUGGUCAUUUGCAUUUCACAGACACACUCCUGUUUAUGGGUGUAUCCAUAUGCUGUGCCAUUGCUGCUUCAGUCUCUGAACUUCAGCUGUGUCAGGCCAGAUAUCCAAUUGCAUGUUUCUCAUGGACCAUUGCCUGCAGCUACAACUGGUACCAAUUUAUAUGAAACUGGCUUUGUGCCGAUCCUGUACUCAAAAUACCCAUAAAACAAUUUUUACAUGGAUAUUGAGUAAAUAGUGACAAAGAAUGAAACAAUGAAAAGCAAAGAACCAAGAAGAUUCCUUAACUCUUAAACCAGUGAUGCAGGACCAGAAAAUCACAGGCAAGAAUAAUUUUUUUCUCUCGCAUGUGUUUAUGUCCUAUUUGUCUAUUGAAAACUCUAUGGUGCAGAGUCCAUGACUUACUCAUCUUUGUAUAUACCCAGUGUGCUCUCCAGUGACGAUUUUGAUCAUCUGCUUGGUGAUGCUAUUUUUAGAGAUUAAGUGAUCAAAUAAUGAUUUCAUUGCAAAACAUUGCUUCAUUGGCUUGGGACCUUCAUCAUGACCUUAGAUUUCUGAACUAUACUGCCUCUAUUGGGAUCCCUGAGAAAAUUUGUUUUCCUAUAUAAGUUCUUUAUAAAUUUUCUUCAAAUGUCAGGACCAAGAGUAUAGGCAUAUUUGCUCCUGAAUGUUUAUCCUAUUCUUCACUGGUGAUCAAUUUAGAAUGUGUCUGUUCAGGCAGGAACAAACCAAG